GCUACUGCUGCUGUGGUAGUGCACCAGACUGGUAUUCUGGCGGCGUGGGUUCGUUUCCCAUCCGGUGUCA